GCCGGGCGUGGUGGCUCACGCCUGUAAUCCCAGCAUUUUGGGAGGCUGAGGUGGGUGGAUCACCUGAGGUCAGGAGUUCAAGACCAUCCUGGCCAACAUGGUGAAACCUCGUCUCUA
ensembl:misc_RNA Metazoa_SRP Metazoan signal recognition particle RNA